UACGUCGGGUUUGGAUAAGUGCUGAAAGCAUCUAAGUACGAAGCCAUUCACCAGAUUAGAUUUCUCAGGGUCGUUGUAGACUACAACGUUGAUAGGACGCAGGUGUAGGGGUAGUAAUAUCUUAGCCGAGCGUUACUAAUGGCCCGUAUGCUUUUUUUU
rnacentral:rRNA from 1 species